rnacentral:lncRNA from 1 species
UUCGUUCUUCCUGGGAGGCAUGUUCUAUAAAUGGAAGGAAGAAAAGGAUAAGACAGGGAGUUUAACUUGAGCUCCUUCUCACUCGCACGACAUGAAUACUGAAAGAAGGGAAACUUUCCUAAAUGCCUUGUAGCCUCUCAUCCAUAAGUGUGGCGCGCUACACACCCAUGCAUAAAACUAUACUUAAUGCGACUUUCAGACUUCCUAGGACACUUUAAAA